rnacentral:rRNA from 1 species
AACGUAGGAGACAAACGUUAUCCGGAGUUACUGGGCGUAAAGGGCGUGUAGGUGGUUUCGUAAGUCUGGCGUGAAAUUUUUCGGCUUAACCGGGAAAGGUCGUCGGAUACUGCGGAGCUAGAGGACGGUAGAGGCGUGUGGAAUUCCGGGUGUAGCGGUGGAAUGCGUAGAGAUCCGGAAGAACACCGGUGGCGAAGGCGGCCCACUGGAUCGGUACUGACGCUGAGGUGCGAAAGCGUGGGGAGCGAACAGG